GAUGAACGCUGACAGAAUGCUUAACACAUGCAAGUCAACUUGAACUUCGGUUUGGGUGGCGGACGGGUGAUUAACGCGUAAAGAACUUGCCUCACAGCUAGGGACAACAUUUGGAAACGAAUGCUAAUACCUGAUAUUAUGAUUAUAUGGCAUCGUAUAAUUAUGAAAGCUAUAUGCGCUGUGAGAGAGCUUUGCGUCCCAUUAGCUAGUUGGAGAGGUAACAGCUCACCAAGGCGAUGAUGGGUAGCCGGCCUGAGAGGGUGAUCGGCCACAAGGGGACUGAGACACGGCCCUUACUCCUACGGGAGGCAGCAGUGGGGAAUAUUGGACAAUGGACCGAGAGUCUGAUCCAGCAAUUCUGUGUGCACGAUGAAGUUUUUCGGAAUGUAAAGUGCUUUCAGUUGGGAAGAAAAAAAUGACGGUACCAACAGAAGAAGUGACGGCUAAAUACGUG
rnacentral:rRNA from 1 species